AACGAACGCUGGCGGCAGGCCUAACACAUGCAAGUCGAACGAGUAAGAGCCGUAGCAAUACGGAGUUCUGCUAGUGGCGCACGGGUGAGUAACGCGUGGGAACGUGCCUUGGAGUUCGGGAUAACAGUUGGAAACGACUGCUAAUACCGAAUAUUCCCUCAGGGGAAAGAUUUAUCGCUCCAAGAUCGGCCCGCGUAAGAUUAGGUAGUUGGUGGGGUAAUGGCCUACCAAGCCUACGAUCUUUAGCUGGUCUGAGAGGACGACCAGCCACACUGGAACUGAGACACGGUCCAGACUCCUACGGGAGGCAGCAGUGGGGAAUAUUGGACAAUGGGCGAAAGCCUGAUCCAGCCAUGCCGCGUGAAUGAUGAAGGCCUUAGGGUUGUAAAAUUCUUUUGCAGGGGAAGAUAAUGACGGUACCCUGCGAAUAAGCUCCGGCUAACUUCGUACCAGCAGCCGCGGUAAU
rnacentral:rRNA from 1 species